AGAGUUUGAUCCUGGCUCAGGAUGAACGCUGGCGGCGUGCUUAACACAUGCAAGUCGAACGGAGGACCCUUGACGGAGUUUUCGGACAACAGAUAGGAAUCCUUAGUGGCGGACGGGUGAGUAACGCGUGAGGAACCUGCCUUGGAGAGGGGAAUAACACAGAGAAAUUUGUGCUAAUACCGCAUGAUGCAGUUGGGCCGCAUGGCUCUGACUGCCAAAGAUUUAUCGCUCUGAGAUGGCCUCGCGUCUGAUUAGGUAGUUGGUGGGGUAACGGCCCACCAAGCCGACGAUCAGUAGCCGGACUGAGAGGUUGACCGGCCACAUUGGGACUGAGACACGGCCCAGACUCCUACGGGAGGCAGCAGUGGGGAAUAUUGGGCAAUGGGCGCAAGCCUGACCCAGCAACGCCGCGUGAAGGAAGAAGGCUUUCGGGUUGUAAACUUCUUUUAUUAAGGACGAAACAAAUGACGGUACUUAAUGAAUAAGCUCCGGCUAACUACGUGCCAGCAGCCGCGGUAAUACGUAGGGAGCAAGCGUUAUCCGGAUUUACUGGGUGUAAAGGGCGUGUAGGCGGGAAAGCAAGUCAGAUGUGAAACCCAGUGGCCCAACCACUGGCCUGCAUUUGAAACUGUUUUUCUUGAGUGAUGGAGAGGCAGGCGGAAUUCCAUGUGUAGCGGUAAAAUGCGUAGAUAUAUGGAGGAACACCAGUGGCGAAGGCGGUUUGCUGGCCUGCAACUGACGCUGAGGCACGAAAGCGUGGGGAGCGAAUAGGAUUAGAUACCCUAGUAGUCCACGCCGUAAACGAUGAGAACUAGGUGUUGGGGAAACUCAGUGCCGCAGUUAACGCAGUAAGUUCUCCGCCUGGGGAGUAUGCACGCAAGUGUGAAACUCAAAGGAAUUGACGGGGGCCCGCACAAGCGGUGGAGUAUGUGGUUUAAUUCGAAGCAACGCGAAGAACCUUGCCAGGCCUUGACAUCCCGAGCGAAGUUAUGGAGACAUAAUGGAGGUUAUCUCGGUGACAGGUGGUGCAUGGUUGUCGUCAGCUCGUGUCGUGAGAUGUUGGGUUAAGUCCCGCAACGAGCGCAACCCUUGUCUUUAGUUACUAACAUUAAGUUGAGGACUCUAGAGAGACUGCCGGUGAUAAACCGGAGGAAGGUGGGGAUGACGUCAAAUCAUCAUGCCCCUUAUGGCCUGGGCUACACACGUACUACAAUGGCAGCUACAAAGAGCAGCGAACUCGCGAGAGCAAGCAAAUCUCACAAAGGCUGUCUCAGUUCGGAUUGGAGUCUGCAACUCGACUCCAUGAAGUCGGAAUAGCUAGUAAUCGUAGAUCAGCAUGCUACGGUGAAU
rnacentral:rRNA from 1 species